rnacentral:rRNA from 2 species
AGAGUUUGAUCAAGAACAGAUUGAACGCUGGCGGCAUGCCUUACACAUGCAAGUCGAACGGCAGCAUGAUCUAGCUUGCUAGAUUGAUGGCGAGUGGCGAACGGGUGAGUAAUACAUCGGAACGUGCCCUGUAGUGGGGGAUAACUAGUCGAAAGAUUAGCUAAUACCGCAUACGACCUGAGGGUGAAAGUGGGGGACCGCAAGGCCUCAUGCUAUAGGAGCGGCCGAUGUCUGAUUAGCUAGUUGGUGGGGUAAAGGCCCACCAAGGCGACGAUCAGUAGCUGGUCUGAGAGGACGAUCAGCCACACUGGGACUGAGACACGGCCCAGACUCCUACGGGAGACAGCAGUGGGGAAUUUUGGACAAUGGGCGAAAGCCUGAUCCAGCAAUGCCGCGUGUGUGAAGAAGGCCUUCGGGUUGUAAAGCACUUUUGUCCGGAAAGAAAUGGCUCUGGUUAAUACCUGGGGUCGAUGACGGUACCGGAAGAAUAAGGACCGGCUAACUACGUGCCAGCAGCCGCGGUAAUACGUAGGGUCCAAGCGUUAAUCGGAAUUACUGGGCGUAAAGCGUGCGCAGGCGGUUGUGCAAGACCGAUGUGAAAUCCCCCGAGCUUAACUUGGGAAUUGCAUUGGUGACUGCACGGCUAGAGUGUGUCAGAGGGGGGUAGAAUUCCACGUGUAGCAGUGAAAUGCGUAGAGAUGUGGAGGAAUACCGAUGGCGAAGGCAGCCCCCUGGGAUAACACUGACGCUCAUGCACGAAAGCGUGGGGAGCAAACAGGAUUAGAUACCCUGGUAGUCCACGCCCUAAACGAUGUCAACUAGUUGUUGGGGAUUCAUUUCCUUAGUAACGUAGCUAACGCGUGAAGUUGACCGCCUGGGGAGUACGGUCGCAAGAUUAAAACUCAAAGGAAUUGACGGGGACCCGCACAAGCGGUGGAUGAUGUGGAUUAAUUCGAUGCAACGCGA